ACUACACUAGAUUUAUCAGGUGAUCACUUCAUCAGUUAUGUAAGUGUCUAAUCAUGUGGUCGUACAUCUAAAAUUAAAAUAAUGUACAUCAACUGUAACUGAAAAAUUAAAAAAGAAUAAAUUGUAAUAAGUCCUAAAAUAAGGCUAGAUGACCAACACAGAACUUUACUUGUAUGACCUUUUUACACUUACUUUGAAGCUUUAAAUACAUUUAAAAAUAAUAUCUGCUUUACUGGGGCACUAAUCGCACACUCAGCUGGCCAAGUGGAUAAUCCAGCACUCCCCACACGUUCGUCUUGGCUUGCCGAACACCCUGACUGCACAGUGGGCAGGCAAUUGGGCUAAUUAAUCCUUUUCUUUCCUUAGUGGCCCUCUUUGUUCCAUGUAUACUUUCUACCUCUGAUUCCAAAAAAUAUAAGAACUCCAGCCUUUCCAACCCUGAGCCAUUUCCAUGUUGAUAAACUUGCUGCCUCACUGAAAGAGGAUUUUAAAAGAUAAUAUCUUAAAGGCAUAAAGUUAUCUAUGGUGCAUGGAAAACCUGUGUUUCAUUGUAGUUAUUACAUUGUGAACUCUCAGUAGCAGGGAGGCAAGUAAUCUCUUGGAACUGGAAGUCUGGAUUCAGUGCAGAAAAAUUACAUGAG